AACGAACGCUGGCGGCAUGCCUAACACAUGCAAGUCGAACGAGACCUUCGGGUCUAGUGGCGCACGGGUGCGUAACGCGUGGGAACCUGCCCUUAGGUUCGGAAUAACUCCCCGAAAGGGGUGCUAAAACCGGAUAAUGUCUUCGGACCAAAGAUUUAUCGCCUUUGGAUGGGCCCGCGUUGGAUUAGCUAGUUGGUAGGGUAAAAGCCUACCAAGGCGACGAUCCAUAGCUGGUCUGAGAGGAUGAUCAGCCACACUGGGACUGAGACACGGCCCAGACUCCUACGGGAGGCAGCAGUGGGGAAUAUUGGACAAUGGGCGAAAGCCUGAUCCAGCAAUGCCGCGUGAGUGAUGAAGGCCUUAGGGUUGUAAAGCUCUUUUACCCGGGAUGAUAAGGACAGUACCGGGAGAAUAAGCUCCGGCUAACUCCGU
rnacentral:rRNA from 1 species